GAUGAAGAACGUAGCGAAAUGCGAUAAGUAAUGUGAAUUGCAGAAUUCAGUGAAUCAUCGAAUCUUUGAACGCACCUUGCACCCUUUGGCAUUCUGAAGGGUAUGCUCGUUUGAGUGUCAUUGUACUCUCACACUCCCGAUCUUUGCAUUGGGAGCAGUGGACUUGGGUUUGCUGCUUCACCGUCGCUUACCUCAAAUAGGUUAGUGCAACUCUUGGUUGGACAUAGUACGGCGUGAUAAGUGUUCUUCGCCGGUGCCUCGCAAAGAGGGUGGCCGAUCGGGAUGUUGUGCUCCAAACCGUCUUCGGACAAUCUCUGACGACUUGACCUCAAAUCGAGUAAGACUACCCGCUGAACUUAAGCAUAUCAAUAAGCGGAGGC
rnacentral:misc_RNA from 1 species